rfam:Charadrius vociferus contig35495, whole genome shotgun sequence.
UUAAAGGCUUUUCUCGUCCUUUUCCUUGUGAAAAAAAGCUUAGAAAGCCAUCAAGACUUAAGUGAAAAAAUUGU